rnacentral:rRNA from 1 species
UACGGAGGGUGCAAGCAUUAAUCGGAUUUAUUGGGCGUAAAGGGCGCGUAGGCCGGCCAGAAAGUCAAAUGUGAAAUCCCGGAGCUCAACUCCGGAACGGCAUUUGAAACUCCUGGUCUUGAGGGUAGGCGGAGAAAACGGAAUUCCACGUGUAGCGGUGAAAUGCGUAGAUAUGUGGAAGAACACCUGUGGUGAAAGCGGUUUUCUAGCUUAUUCCUGACGCUGAGGCGCGAAAGCAAGGGGAGCAAACAGG